rnacentral:rRNA from 1 species
UGAGACACGAAUCCAGACCCUACGGGGUGCAGCAGGCGCGAAAACUUGGCAAUGCGAGAAAUCGUGACCAGGGAACUCCAAGUGGCAGGGGUAAGACCCUGUCUUUUUCCGACUCUAAAUAGGUCGGCGAAUAAGGGGUGGGUAAGGACGGUGCCAGCCGCCGCGGUAAUACCGGCGCCUCAAGUGGUAGUCGCUUUUAUUGGGCCUAAAACGUCCGUAGCCGGUCUGGUACAUUCGUGGGUAAAUCAACUCGCUCAACGAGUUGAAUUCUGCGAGGACGGCCAGACUUGGGACCGGGAGAGGUGUGGGGUACUCUCAGGGUAGGGGUAAAAUCCUGUCAUCCUGAGAGGACCACCUGUUGCGAAGGCUCCACACUAGAACGGAUCCGACGGUCAGGGACGAAGCCUAGGGGCACGAACCGGAUUAGAUACCCGGGUAGUCCUAGGUGUAAACGCUGUGGACUUGAUGUUGGGGACGCUCCGAGCGUUCUCAGUGUCGAAGCGAAGGUGAUAAGUCCACUGCCUGGGGAGUACGGUCGCAAGGCUGAAACUUAAAGGAAUUGGCGGGGGAGCACCGCAACCUGAGGAUUGUGCGGUUUAAUUGGAUUCAACGCCGGAAAACUCACCAUGGCCGACGGACAUAUGAAAGCCAGUGUAACGAGCUUGCUGGAUUGUUCGAGAGGUAUUGCAUGGCCGCCGUCAGUUCGUACCGCAAGGCGUUCUGUUAAGUCAGAUAACGAACGAGACCCUCAUCCCUAUUUGCCAAGGUCUGUCCGCAGACCACGGGACUAUAGGGAGACCGCUGGCGCGAAGUCAGAGGAAGGCGAGGGCAACGGUAGGUCAGUAUGAUCCGAAUGCCAUGGGCUACACGCGCAAUACAAAGGACGGGACAAUGGGCUGCUACUCCGAGAGGAAGAAGCUAUCCCGAAACCCGUUCGUAGUUCGGAUUGGGGGCUGUAACCCGCCCCCAUGAAGCUGGAUUAGGUAGUAAUCGCGUCUCAACAAGGCGCGGUGAAUAUGCCCCUGCUCCUUGCACACACCGCCCGUCAAACCAUC